UUCUUUUUAUUUUUCUUCCCCUUUCCUUUCCCCUCAACUUCACGUGCAGCAGCAGCCUUGAAACCCUCUUCCCCAAAUUCGAGCGUCGCCCAGCCUUUCCCCCUUCGUUUGACGUCGCACCGUCCAGCCAGCCAUCCGGUCGACACCUCAGAUUUCCCGACUGAAUCCUCCCCAGCGCGUCGCCUCGAAUCUCAAGCCGACCAACCCAAUCGCGUGACCCACGCGUCUGUCCAGCUUCAUUCCUUCGCGCUCCUCCGCACGCCAUCGUCGCACACCGGAGCCCACCAACGCGACCGACCAUUCGUGCUCGGGCCGUGAGCUGCCAUAAUUUGGGUCUAUCACCGGUUUCAUUGCUGCAGGAGCCAAGCAACCGUCAAAAGUCACUGAUAACUUCACCGACCGUCGUUGCACGGUUUAACAGCCGUUUUCUCGUGUAUCUCCGUGGAUUUUGGAAUUUUGGGUAACAUUUAAUGUUUUGUUGGAUUCUUAUUGAAUGGGUUUUGGAUGCCCAAUGAGUGUGUGUCUAAUUUUACGUUGCUCAUAAUAUUUGAGUCGUAACUUCAAUCUUUUAGAGAAUCUCGGAGUUGAGAGCGAGUUGUCCACCUUCAAAGAUUAUUUUUGGUGGAUUUUUGGUUGGAUUUUUUUUUUUUAUCGAAGUUCGAAGUGGUUUUGGACCGAACCACGUGUUGGGGCUUGAUUCAAGAUUUAUUUGGGCUAAGAGAAGAUAAGCUUGCUUGGGUUUAUUUGGAUUUAAUUUUGAGGUAAAGGUAGAGAUGCACCGACGAUUGACAAGUGAAAUUCGUGAUCGAGCCACUGGGACCAG